CGUAUCCGGAGCCCUCAUUGCUGUCUUCGGGUUCCGGUGAAAAUCACGUAUUUACAAUGUUGAAUGUAAAUUGAUGUCGAAAUCUAGGGUUUUGGCUGUAAAUUGAAUUUUAGGGGUUUUGAUUGAAAGGGUUUUAAUUGAUAUAACGAAUUAGACCGUCGAUUCUAUGGUUCUGACUGUAAAUUGAAUUCAGUUUUCCCUUUCCCUGUUCUCUUUCGAUCUCAACAGGUACACAAACGAGAACUCUUAACCAGGAUUUCUAUUGUUGUGUAGAGAGACAAUGAGACAUAGUGAGAAAGAGCUAGCAUCUAUCUCAUCUCAGUUGCUGAUACACUUACGGAUGGAAAAGCAAAACAUAAUCAUCUUGGCUUGUCGAUCAUGUUCUUAUUUAAGGUCGUAUCUGUUCAUAAAUUUGAUGCUUGGAUUAGCAAUUUGGAUGAUUUUUGUUGGUUAUGUAAUUAGAAAUUCAUAUUAGUUUUGCAGCGUUCAAAAGUAUAGAAAACCUUUGAAACUGUGAGAGGGUCAGCAUUGGAGCUAUCAAAACAUUGGGGGGUUAAAGUUCUGAUCUUCUUAGCCUCUAGCCUUCUCAAGAGAAAGGUCUGUCCUACUCUAUUGAAGAUUUUUCUGCUCUUCUGUGAACGGGUUCACACUCUAUGAUGGGUGCAAGAGUAUAGAAAACCUUUAAACCUUUGAAGCUCUACGAAGUGCUGCAACUUUGUGGAGAAUCCUAUUUAGUUUCGAAACAUGUCUAUCAGAGGUAAAUCCUAUUACUUUAUGCAAGGACCUAAAGUCUGUGGCUGCCAAGCUGAAACUGACAGGCAUAUCAGCAAACUGUGGGUGUAUGGAUUUCAUGUCAUGUAAUGAAGUUACCAGCAAGCUUCCUCAGAAUGUAUAAAUUGCCAUAUGUUUUACUCCUCCGUGGACUGUUCCUCAUGCUAUUAAGCUGUUCUAUUGGGAGCAUUGAAUCUGUCAUCAUGUACAUUGUGUAGGAUUGUGAUUGUAUUCUUUCAGUUAAGACUUAUGUUGAAUCUAUCCUGUGUCGUGUUAAGGGCUUCGAGGUACUAAUGUUUACUACGGAUUCUCAACAGGUAUACUAUAUUCUGUGGUAAUUAUCGCAUGUCUUUAUCAUUGCUUGGAAUUUUACUAUUUUUUUGUUGUUGCAGUAAGGGCUUAUAUCUGUUCUUCAUAGAGUUUGCAGGGAAGGUUUGUAUGCAGGGUAUGACCAUCUAAAAUUAAGCAUUGCUCUCUUUUGUAGUCUGGGUCAUACUUAUCACGGAUUGGGUUGUCUAAUACUUUAUACCGUACCUAUUGUAGCCUGGGUCAUACUUAUCGGAUUGGGUUGUCUAAUACUUUAUACGGUACCUAUUAUGUAUGUACUUUAUAUGCAAUAGGCUUAUUGUUGAUGAAGCUAUUACCAACGGCGAAACAGGAAAGUCUGCUCCCAUGAAGCGGUUUGAUGCAAAUCUUUGCCCCUGCAUCACGGAUGUUACCUGAACCUAUAAAAGAAGAGAUACUUUGGGAGGAUGCCAAAGCUAGAGAUAAAACAAGAAAGAGAAGGAGAGAAGGAAAAAAAAAGGAUGCAGAAGAUAAAGAUAGGAGAAUGGCGUAGUAGCCAUCAGUUUUAUUUUACUUGGGAUUUUAUUGGAUAGUUUUUACAGCUUCAUUUGAUAAUCUACUUUGCUUUCUUUUGUAAACAGUAUCAAUUUUUUUUUGAAAAUGACUUACAU